GAUGAAGAACGUAGUGAAAUGCGAUAAGUAAUGUGAAUUGCAGAAUUCAGUGAAUCAUCGAAUCUUUGAACGCAUCUUGCGCUCCUUGGUAUUCCUUGGAGCAUGCCUGUUUGAGUAUCAUGAGCAAAUCUCAAAGUCAAUUCCUUUUGUUGAUUCAAUUGGUUUUGCUUUGGACUUUGAGGCCUUGCAGAUUUCACAGUCUGCUCCUCUUAAAUGCAUUAGCUGGAUCUCAGUAAUUAUGCUUGGUUCCACUCGGCGUGAUAAGUAUCACUCGCUGAGGACACUGUUAAAAAGGUGGCCAGGAAAAUACUGAUUGAACCGCUUCUAACGGUCUAUUAAGUUAGACAAUUACCCUUAAGUUUGAUCUCAAAUCAGGUAGGACUACCCGCUGAACUUAAGCAUAUCAAUAAGCGGAGGA
rnacentral:misc_RNA from 1 species